GAAUUUGGAUCAUGACGUGGUUCACAAGUGGGACAGGAAUUCGAGUUUUGAGAUUGGAUCCACUUGAUAGAAAGGAACGGCUGGGACUGGGAAAAGAGUUGCUCACAGAAAUCGAGGAUCUUGGAAUUGUAGAAAAACAGCAGAUUCGACAUGCAAGAACAAUCUUACCUCAAAAAGCACGAGUUAGUUAUCGCUGCACUUCGUCUAGUACAAUUGAAUACUGAGGUCAAACAUGUGACACCUCUUCGGUACAACACUUUCAGAUAGUACACGCGAGACAUGGUGAGAGUUCAUUGUUCCAUUGUAUGAUUCUUUAGUGAGACCUAGGUUUUAUAAACACGUUGAAGAACUUUAGGAGAUUUUUGAGGUGCCUCCAUGUGUUCCGACUGUCGGCUCAUACGGGACUCUCAGAAUCUUGUAACAUCGUUCUCCUAACAAAUUCUGUUAUUUCUUCUCGAUGACGACAA